UCAGCUGGAGUAGGCAGCUGGUCUC
rnacentral:misc_RNA from 1 species